CCCUGCCCUUUGUACACACCGCCCGUCGCUACUACCGAUUGGAUGGUUUAGUGAGGUCCUCGGAUCGGCCCCGCCGGGGUCGGCCACGGCCCUGGCGGAGCGCCGAGAAGACGAUCAAACUUGACUAU
rnacentral:rRNA from 1 species